AAAAACUGAUUCAAAUGUUCUCCUCAGAUAGUCACUUAACAAAGUCUUUGGCAUUUGCCCAGUACUGGGAGUGGUCAAAGUAGGUUCUUUACUUCACUCUUAACAUGAAAUCAAAAUAUUUUUGAAAUCAGUCCUUGGGGUCCGGAGAAAACCGGUUCUAAUAUUCCACAUGAACAGUCGCUUUACAAAGCCUGUCUUAUUUACCCAGUAGUGGGAGUGAUUGAAAUAGGUUCUUUACUUCACUCUUAACAUGAAAUCAAAAUAUUUUUGAAAUCAGUCCUUGGGGUCCGGAGAAAACCCGGUUCUAAUAUUCCACAUGAACAGUCGCUUUACAAAGCCUGUCUUAUUUGCCCAGGAGUGGGAGUGAUUGAAGUAGGUUCCUUACUUCACUUUUAACAUGAAAUUAAAAUAUUUUUGAAAUCGGUCCCAGGGGUCCCGAGAAAAACCGUUUCAAAUGUUCUCCUUAGAUAGUCACUUAACAAAGUCUUUGGCAUUUGCCCAGUACUGGGAGUGGUCAAAGUAGGUUCUUUUGCUUCA